rnacentral:rRNA from 1 species
UACGUAGGGACCGAGCGUUGUCCGGAAUCAUUGGGCGUAAAGAGCGUGUAGGCGGCUUGCUAAGUCUUGCGUGAAAUCUCGGGGCUCAACCCCGAGCGGUCGUGGGAAACUGGCAGGCUAGAGUGCGGGAGAGGAGAAUGGAAUUCCUGGUGUAGCGGUGAAAUGCGCAGAUAUCAGGAAGAACACCCGUGGCGAAAGCGGCUCUCUGGAACGGUACUGACGCUGAGACGCGAAAGCGUGGGGAGCGAACAGG